GACGAACGUUGGCGGCGUGCUUAACACAUGCAAGUCGAACGGAAAGUCCCUGCUUUUGUGGGGUGCUCGAGUGGCGAACGGGUGAGUAACACGUGAGUAACCUGCCCUUGACUUUGGGAUAACUUCAGGAAACUGGGGCUAAUACCGGAUAGGAGCUCCUGCUGCAUGGUGGGGGUUGGAAAGUUUCGGCGGUUGGGGAUGGACUCGCGGCUUAUCAGCUUGUUGGUGGGGUAGUGGCUUACCAAGGCUUUGACGGGUAGCCGGCCUGAGAGGGUGACCGGCCACAUUGGGACUGAGAUACGGCCCAGACUCCUACGGGAGGCAGCAGUGGGGAAUAUUGCACAAUGGGCGGAAGCCUGAUGCAGCAACGCCGCGUGCGGGAUGACGGCCUUCGGGUUGUAAACCGCUUUCGCCUGUGACGAAGCGUGAGUGACGGUAAUGGGUAAAGAAGCACCGGCUAACUACGUGCCAGCAGCCGCGGUGAUACGUAGGGUGCGAGCGUUGUCCGGAUUUAUUGGGCGUAAAGGGCUCGUAGGUGGUUGAUCGCGUCGGAAGUGUAAUCUUGGGGCUUAACCCUGAGCGUGCUUUCGAUACGGGUUGACUUGAGGAAGGUAGGGGAGAAUGGAAUUCCUGGUGGAGCGGUGGAAUGCGCAGAUAUCAGGAGGAACACCAGUGGCGAAGGCGGUUCUCUGGGCCUUUCCUGACGCUGAGGAGCGAAAGCGUGGGGAGCGAACAGGCUUAGAUACCCUGGUAGUCCACGCUGUAAACGGUGGGUACUAGGUGUGGGGUCCAUUCCACGGGUUCCGUGCCGUAGCUAACGCUUUAAGUACCCCGCCUGGGGAGUACGGCCGCAAGGCUAAAACUCAAAGGAAUUGACGGGGCCCCGCACAAGCGGCGGAGCAUGCGGAUUAAUUCGAUGCAACGCGUAGAACCUUACCUGGGUUUGACAUGGAUCGGGAGCGCUCAGAGAUGGGUGUGCCUCUUUUGGGGUCGGUUCACAGGUGGUGCAUGGCUGUCGUCAGCUCGUGUCGUGAGAUGUUGGGUUAAGUCCCGCAACGAGCGCAACCCUUGUUCACUGUUGCCAGCACGUUAUGGUGGGGACUCAGUGGAGACCGCCGGGGUCAACUCGGAGGAAGGUGGGGAUGACGUCAAGUCAUCAUGCCCCUUAUGUCCAGGGCUUCACGCAUGCUACAAUGGCUGGUACAGAGAGUGGCGAGCCUGUGAGGGUGAGCGAAUCUCGGAAAGCCGGUCUCAGUUCGGAUUGGGGUCUGCAACUCGACCUCAUGAAGUCGGAGUCGCUAGUAAUCGCAGAUCAGCAACGCUGCGGUGAAUACGUUCCCGGG
rnacentral:rRNA from 1 species